rnacentral:rRNA from 1 species
CCUACGGUGGCAGCAGUGGGGAAUAUUGGACAAUGGGCGAAAGCCUGAUCCAGCCAUGCCGCGUGAGUGAAGAAGGCCUUCGGGUUGUAAAGCACUUUCAGUGGGGAAGAAAGCCUUGGGGCUAAUACCCUCGAGGAAGGACAUCACCCACAGAAGAAGCACCGGCUAACUCCGUGCCAGCAGCCGCGGUAAUACGGAGGGUGCGAGCGUUAAUCGGAAUUACUGGGCGUAAAGCGCGCGUAGGCGGUCUGAUAAGCCGGUUGUGAAAGCCCCGGGCUCAACCUGGGAACGGCAUCCGGAACUGUCAGGCUAGAGUGCAGUAGAGGAAGGUAGAAUUCCCGGUGUAGCGGUGAAACGCGUAGAGAUCGGGAGGAAUACCAGUGGCGAAGGCGGCCUUCUGGACUGACACUGACGCUGAGGUGCGAAAGCGUGGGUAGCAAACAGGAUUAGAUACCCUUGUAGUC